UACGUAGGGUGCAAGCGUUAAUCGGAAUUACUGGGCGUAAAGCGUGCGCAGGCGGUUUUGUAAGUCUGUCGUGAAAUCCCCGGGCUCAACCUGGGAAUUGCGAUGGAGACUGCAAGGCUAGAAUCUGGCAGAGGGGGGUAGAAUUCCACGUGUAGCAGUGAAAUGCGUAGAGAUGUGGAGGAACACCGAUGGCGAAGGCAGCCCCCUGGGUCAAGAUUGACGCUCAUGCACGAAAGGCGUGGGGAGCAAAC
rnacentral:rRNA from 1 species